rnacentral:rRNA from 1 species
AACUUCCAUAUAAGCAAUGCUGCUAAGAAAGAAUGAAUUAGUUAAAAAACCAUUAAUAGUGAAAUAUAUAAUAUUAAUAACUUAUUACAAUUCUAUAACUAAAAAAUAGUGAACUAUAAACAAGGAUUAGAAACCCUUUUAUACAUUACUUAUAAACCUUUCUUGGAGAUUAACGCUUUAAUAGUCCAAACCUAAACAUCAUGACGGUAAUUUUAAAAAUUAGGGGAACUUACCCUAUAAUUGAUAACCACCAUGGUAAACUAACUAUAUGAAAUUCAUGUAUGCCGUCGCCAUCAGGUAUGAUAAGAUAUUAUAUCAAUAUCAAUCACUUUGAAAAGGGCAGAUCAAGGUGCAGACAACCUUAUAGAAAGUGGCGAGUUACAAUUAAUUAUUUUAGCGGUAUUCGUGUGCUUAACCACUCAUUUAAGUAGGACUUAAUAGUAAUUUACAUUAUAUAUAAUAAAUGAAUA